rnacentral:rRNA from 1 species
ACGGUGAACUAUGAGUGAGCAGGGCGAAAGCCAGAGGAAAACUCUGGUGGAGGCUCGAAGGGGUACUAACGUGCAAAUUGUCUUCAGACUUGCUUAUAGGGGCGAAAGACUAAUCGAACCGUCUGGUAGCUGGUUCCCCGCCGAAAUUUCCCCCAGGAUAGCUGGAGCUCGAACUAAUGAACAGUUUCAUCCGGUAAAGCGAAUGAUUAGAGGAACGGGGGUCGAAACGACCUUUGCCUAUUCUCAAACUUUAAAUGGGUGAGAAAGUUGCAGUUGCUUGAAAUUUUUACAUUGAACUGACAACAAAGAAUGGACUAGCUCUUAGUGGGCCAUUUUGGUAAGCAGAACUGGCGAUGAGGGAUGAACCUAACGUUGAGUUAAAGUGCCCAAACCUAUAUGCUAACCCAGAUACCAGCAAAAGGUGUUGAUCCAUCUAGACAGCUGGACGGUGGCCAUGGAAGUCGGAAUCCGCUAAGAAGUGUGUAAC